rnacentral:rRNA from 1 species
UGAUGUGUAGGAUAGGUGGGAGGCUUUGAAGUGUGGACGCCAGUCUGCAUGGAGCCGACCUUGAAAUACCACCCUUUAAUGUUUGAUGUUCUAACGUUGACCCGUAAUCCGGGUUGCGGACAGUGUCUGGUGGGUAGUUUGACUGGGGCGGUCUCCUCCUAAAGAGUAACGGAGGAGCACGAAGGUUGGCUAAUCCUGGUCGGACAUCAGGAGGUUAGUGCAAUGGCAUAAGCCAGCUUGACUGCGAGCGUGACGGCGCGAGCAGGUGCGAAAGCAGGUCAUAGUGAUCCGGUGGUUCUGAAUGGAAGGGCCAUCGCUCAACGGAUAAAAGGUACUCCGGGGAUAACAGGCUGAUACCGCCCAAGAGUUCAUAUCGACGGCGGUGUUUGGCACCUCGAUGUCGGCUCAUCACAUCCUGGGGCUGAAGUAGGUCCCAAGGGUAUGGCUGUUCGCCAUUUAAAGUGGUACGCGAGCUGG